rnacentral:ribozyme from 1 species
GGUUGCAAGUUUGAGGCUGCAGCAGAAGUGCUCACAGUGCAGCCCUGUCAGAUUCCAAUGAAUCUGCAAAUUCUAAU